AAAGCGACACUGGACCAGGCAUAAUUACCUAGCAGUUAUUGUCCUGCACCCAUGAGUCUCAUGCAGAUACACUCUGCCCUGGAAGUGAAUCCACUCCUACGCUGGACAU
rnacentral:lncRNA from 1 species